rnacentral:rRNA from 1 species
CAGAUUGAACGCUGGCGGCAGGCCUAACACAUGCAAGUCGAACGGUAGCACAGAGGAGCUUGCUCCUUGGGUGACGAGUGGCGGACGGGUGAGUAAUGUCUGGGGAUCUGCCCGAUGGAGGGGGAUAACUACUGGAAACGGUAGCUAAUACCGCAUAACGUCGCAAGACCAAAGUGGGGGACCUUCGGGCCUCACACCAUCGGAUGAACCCAGAUGGGAUUAGCUAGUAGGUGGGGUAACGGCUCACCUAGGCGACGAUCCCUAGCUGGUCUGAGAGGAUGACCAGCCACACUGGAACUGAGACACGGUCCAGACUCCUACGGGAGGCAGCAGUGGGGAAUAUUGCACAAUGGGCGCAAGCCUGAUGCAGCCAUGCCGCGUGUAUGAAGAAGGCCUUCGGGUUGUAAAGUACUUUCAGCGGGGAGGAAGGGGUUGAGUUUAAUACGCUCAAUCAUUGACGUUACCCGCAGAAGAAGCACCGGCUAACUCCGUGCCAGCAGCCGCGGUAAUACGGAGGGUGCAAGCGUUAAUCGGAAUUACUGGGCGUAAAGCGCACGCAGGCGGUCUGUCAAGUCGGAUGUGAAAUCCCCGGGCUUAACCUGGGAACUGCAUUCGAAACUGGCAGGCUGGAGUCUCGUAGAGGGGGGUAGAAUUCCAGGUGUAGCGGUGAAAUGCGUAGAGAUCUGGAGGAAUACCGGUGGCGAAGGCGGCCCCCUGGACGAAGACUGACGCUCAGGUGCGAAAGCGUGGGGAGCAAACAGGAUUAGAUACCCUGGUAGUCCACGCCGUAAACGAUGUCGACUUGGAGGUUGUGCCCUUGAGGCGUGGCUUCCGGAGCUAACGCGUUAAGUCGACCGCCUGGGGAGUACGGCCGCAAGGUUAAAACUCAAAUGAAUUGACGGGGGCCCGCACAAGCGGUGGAGCAUGUGGUUUAAUUCGAUGCAACGCGAAGAACCUUACCUGGCCUUGACAUCCACGGAAUUUGGCAGAGAUGCCUUAGUGCCUUCGGGAACCGUGAGACAGGUGCUGCAUGGCUGUCGUCAGCUCGUGUUGUGAAAUGUUGGGUUAAGUCCCGCAACGAGCGCAACCCUUAUCCUUUGUUGCCAGCGAUUCGGUCGGGAACUCAAAGGAGACUGCCGGUGAUA